rnacentral:rRNA from 1 species
GACGAACGCUGGCGGCGUGCUUAACACAUGCAAGUCGAACGGAAAGGCCCUGCUUGCAGGGUACUCGAGUGGCGAACGGGUGAGUAACACGUGGGUGAUCUGCCCUGCACUUCGGGAUAAGCCUGGGAAACUGGGUCUAAUACCGGAUAGGAGCCAUUUUUAGUGUGAUGGUUGGAAAGUUUUUUCGGUGUAGGAUGAGCUCGCGGCCUAUCAGCUUGUUGGUGGGGUAAUGGCCUACCAAGGCGGCGACGGGUAGCCGGCCUGAGAGGGUGGACGGCCACAUUGGGACUGAGAUACGGCCCAGACUCCUACGGGGGGCCGCAGUGGGGAAGAUUGCACAAUGGGCGCAAGCCUGAUGCAGCGACGCCGCGUGGGGGAUGACGGCCUUCGGGUUGGAAACUCCGUUCGCUAGGGACGAAGCUUUUUGUGACGGUACCUAGAUAAGAAGCACCGGCUAACUACGUG